GCCGGGUGUGGUGGCUCACACCUGUAAUCCCAGCACUUUGGGAGGCUGAGGCAGGUGGAUCACCUGAGGUCAGGAGUUCGAGACCAGCCUGACCAACAUGGUGAAACCCCGUCUCUA
rnacentral:SRP_RNA from 1 species